rnacentral:tRNA from 1 species
UCAAGGAAAAGAUAACCAAUCUUAUCUUUAAUCUCCAAAAUUAAAAUUUUUAUAAACUAUUCCUUG